rnacentral:rRNA from 1 species
CCUACGGGUGGCAGCAGUCGAGAAUCAUUCACAAUGGGGGAAACCCUGAUGGUGCGACGCCGCGUGGGGGAAUGAAGGUCUUCGGAUUGUAAACCCCUGUCAUGUGGGAGCAAAUUAAAAAGAUAGUACCACACGAGGAAGAGACGGCUAACUCUGUGCCAGAAGCCGCGGUAAUACAGAGGGAUUAAGCGUUGUUAGGAAUCAUUGGGCGUAAAGCGUGCGUAGGCGGGUUCGUAAGUUGUGUGUGAAAGGCGCGGGCUCAAACCGCGGAGAGCAACUGAUACUGGGAGACUAGAGUAAUGGAGGGGGAAGCGGAAUGCUCGGUGUAGCGGUGAAAUGCGUAGAUAUCGAGAGGAACACUGGUGGCGAAGGCGGGUUCCUGGACAUUAACUGACGCUGAGGCACGAAGGCCAGGGGAGCGAAAGGGAUUAGAUACCCUGGUAGUC